GGGGUCGGCAUUGGCUUUGACAGCGAGACCGGUCGAUAUGUAAGCACGUAGAGCAGUGGGGGAGUGGCUCUUAAAUCUCUUCCCUCAAAGUAUAAACGGCGAAAAUAACUACGCUCUUGCUGCCUAGUCUUUCACAGAAAGACUAGAGCCUACGUCUGUUCAAGGAACAGAGGCGGGACAUCGCUCCGAAGCCACGUUUCACGGCGUCGGGAGAAGCGGUGCCGAAAAGUGAAAACAAGCCUCUUGCCGACUGAGGGCAGAGGACUGAAAUCUCAAAUGCAGGGUAAGGCUGCCCUUAUGGUGUUUGUGACAUUAGGCAGCCCUGACAACUUUUCACAAAAUAAACGUGUAGAAAGCAUAAAGGUCGCUCGUUUGGACCCGGGUUCGACUCCCGGCGGCUCCACAA
rnacentral:tmRNA from 1 species